rnacentral:rRNA from 1 species
ACUCAAAGGAAUAGACGGGGGCCCGCACAAGCAGUGGAGUAUGUGGUUUAAUUCGAAGCAACGCGAAGAACCUUACCAGGUCUUGACAUCCAUGUGAUCCUCAAGAGAUUGAGGAGUGCCCUUCGGGGAAAUAUGAGACAGGUGGUGCAUGGUUGUCGUCAGCUCGUGUCGUGAGAUGUUGGGUUAAGUCCCGCAACGAGCGCAACCCUUGCCAUUAGUUGCUACGCGAGAGCACUCUAAUGGGACCGCUACCGACAAGGUGGAGGAAGGUGGGGACGACGUCAAAUCAUCAUGCCCCUUAUGACCUGGGCUACACACGUACUACAAUGGCCGUUAACAGAGGGAAGCAAGACAGCGAUGUGGAGCAAACCCCCAAAAACGGUCUCAGUUCGGAUCGCAGGCUGCAACCCGCCUGCGUGAAGUCGGAAUUGCUAGUAAUCGCAGAUCAGCAUGCUGCGGUGAAUACGUUCCCGGGCCUUGUACACACCGCCCGU